UUGGGAAUUUCUUUAAACCUAAAGGCGUAAUGAAAGUGAAGAUUCUCCUAGCGAGAAUCUAGGGAGGAGGGGCGGUUUACACCCUUAAAAGUGGCCGUUCUCCGCACUCCCGGGGCGUCUCGUUCUCAUCGCGAGAUGAGGCGCACCGAGAGCGUACACGCUGGGACCCGAAAGAUGGUGAACUAUGCCUGGUCAGGACGAAGUCAGGGGAAACCCUGAUGGAGGUCCGUAGCGAUUCUGACGUGCAAAUCGAUCGUCGGAACUGGGUAUAGGGGCGAAAGACUAAUCGAACCGUCUAGUAGCUGGUUCCCUCCGAAGUUUCCCUCAGGAUAGCUGGCGCUCGUAGCGCACGAGUCUCAUCCGGUAAAGCGAAUGAUUAGAGGCAUUGGGGUCGAAACGACCUCAACCUAUUCUCAAACUUUAAAUGGGUGAGAUCUCCGGCUUGCUCGAAUACGUGCGCGCGCGCGCGCGCGCGCGAUAACGUGCAACUAACUAAAC
rnacentral:rRNA from 1 species